rnacentral:rRNA from 1 species
CACGUAGGGUGCGAGCGUUGUCCGGAAUUAUUGGGCGUAAAGAGCUCGUAGGCGGUGUGUCGCGUCGGCCGUGAAAACCUGCAGCUUAACUGUGGGCUUGCGGUCGAUACGGGCAUCACUGGAGUUCGGCAGGGGAGACUGGAAUUCCUGGUGUAGCGGUGAAAUGCGCAGAUAUCAGGAGGAACACCGGUGGCGAAGGCGGAUCUCUGGGCCGACACUGACGCUGAGGAGCGAAAGCGUGGGGAGCGAACAGG